AAGUCGGAGGUGAAAUCCCGCGGCUCAACCGCAGAACUGCCAUUGCUACUGUUGUGCUUGAGUUCGGGCGAAGUGGGCGGAAUUUCCGGUGUAGCGGUGAAAUGCCUAGAUAUUACACAGAACACCCAUGGCGAAGGCAGCUCACUUGGCCUGUAUUGACGCUUAAGGACGAAAGCGUGGGGAACCAACAGGAUUAGAUACCCUGGUAGUCCACGCCGUAAACGAUGAGAACUCGUUUUUGGGAAUUUACUUGACGAGAUCUGGCUAAAGUGAUAAGUAAUCCACCUGGGGAGUGGGAUCGCCGGGUUGAAACUCAAAUG
rnacentral:rRNA from 1 species